rnacentral:rRNA from 1 species
UUGACCUCGAAUCAGGUAGGAUUACCCGCUGAACUUAAGCAUAUCAAUAAGCGGAGGAAAAGAAACCAACAGGGAUUGCCCUAGUAACGGCGAGUGAAGCGGCAACAGCUCAAAUUUGAAAUCUGGCCCUCGGGUCCGAGUUGUAAUUUGUAGAGGAUGUUUUUGGUGAGGUACCUUCCGAGUUCCCUGGAACGGGACGCCAUAGAGGGUGAGAGCCCCGUCUGGUUGGAUACCGAUCCUCUGUAAAACUCCUUCAACGAGUCGAGUAGUUUGGGAAUGCUGCUCUAAAUGGGAGGUAUAUGUCUUCUAAAGCUAAAUAUUGGCCAGAGACCGAUAGCGCACAAGUAGAGUGAUCGAAAGAUGAAAAGCACUUUGAAAAGAGAGUUAAAAAGUACGUGAAAUUGUUGAAAGGGAAGCGCUUAUGACCAGACUUGGACUUGGUUGAUCAUCCUGGGUUCUCCCUGGUGCACUCUUCCAGUUCAGGCCAGCAUCAGUUCAUCGCGGGGGAUAAAGGCUUCGGGAAUGUGGCUCCCUCGGGAGUGUUAUAGCCCGUUGUGUAAUACCCUGCUUUGGACUGAGGUUCGCGCAUCUGCAAGGAUGCUGGCGUAAUGGUCAUCAGCGACCCGUCUUGAAACACGGACCAAGGAGUCGUCUUCGUAUGCGAGUGUUCGGGUGUUAAACCCCUACGCGUAAUGAAAGUGAACGCAGGUGAGAGCUUCGGCGCAUCAUCGACCGAUCCUGAUGUUCUCGGAUGGAUUUGAGUAAGAGCAUACGGGGCCGGACCCGAAAGAAGGUGAACUAUGCUUGUAUAGGGUGAAGCCAGAGGAAACUCUGGUGGAGGCUCGCAGCGGUUCUGACGUGCAAAUCGAUCGUCAAAUAUGAGCAUGGGGGCGAAAGACUAAUCGAACCUUCUAGUAGCUGGUUUCCGCCGAAGUUCCCCCUCAGAA